CACCGCCUUGUGACACCAACCUCUGCUGAAGCAGGAAGACUCCCAACACUAGUAUAUGUCCUGAGCACCCCAGAGAAAGCCAUUCCCUGCAGCAAAGCAUCAUACAUCGCAGUCCUGGAUCUGCAUAUGAAGCCCUUCCUCCCCACCUGCAGCAUCACUGCAGCCCCUUCCCAUGGCCGGCACAUUCACACCAUGCCGACACACUUCUUUUCAACCAUCUCACAAACAGAAACCAAACCUGAAUCCCUACCCAUCAGGAAAAAACUCUUCAACUUGAAGAACAUCACCGUCCUUGUUAAAGACUUUACCAACGACAACUAAAUGAGCUGAAAACAAAGUUAAGUGACAGCUGAAGGGUCACACAGACAGGAGGCCACCUGCGACCAGCCUGGUCAGACAUCCUUACCCUGUGCAGCCCGAAGGAACAUGGGCAAUUGAGUUCAUCAGAGCUGGUCAGACAAAGAGAGGCAUGGAGAUGCAUCCUGCGUUGACUGAGG
rnacentral:lncRNA from 1 species